GCUUCAGGGAAGUCUGUCGGAAAUGUGUUAAAGGAACCCAUUUAAUAUUCCAGUCUCACAGGUCAUGGACUCACCUUGGCCAACAGACGGUCAGCAGACAGGAGCUGAGACUGAGCCCUGUGUCUGCCGCCCCCUCUUUGCUCUGCCGGCCCUUUUCCCCAAGGACCGCAGAGUGUGGAUGGCAGCUUUAUUUUUUUUAAUGUUCCCAUUACAAUUCUAAUGUUAAUAGAAAGAUAGAAUAUAUGCAUGCAUCCUAUUUUCUUUCUAUUAAUAUAGAUCCAGAGAGGUUAUAUAUCACCUGUAUAUGUAUAUGAAGAUUAUGAAUAAAUAUAACGUCUGUCAGCACAUAGAAACUCCACAAGGCUGGUGGGGACUUCCAGGGACAAGCCCUCAGCAAUGCCACCGAGUUCACAGUUUAUAUUACAAACACCAGGAAACAUGGACGCACGGCUGUGUCAGUCUCCGAUUGUUGCUGUGACAAAUUUCCACAAAUGUGACUUAGUGCAAAUGUAUCACCUUAGUUCUGGAGGUCAGAGAUCUACAAUGAGUCUCCAGGACUGUGUUCCUCCAGAAGGCUCUUGGGAGAAUCUCCUCGGGGGCCUUCCCCUUGUCUAAAGGUUACCCACUCCCCUUGGCUAUGGGUCCUUCCUCUCUCACCAAAACCACAGAACAGCAUCUUCUCUCUCCUCUGACCCUUUCUUCUGAAGUAAAAAAUUAGGUCAUUAUGUCCAUUCCUAUA